rnacentral:rRNA from 1 species
ACGGAGGGUGCAAGCGUUGUUCGGAAUUAUUGGGCGUAAAGGGCGCGUAGGCGGUAAUGUAAGUCAGAUGUGAAAUACUUCGGCUCAACUGAAGAACUGCAUCUGAAACUGCAUAACUAGAGUACAGAAGAGGGAAACGGAAUUCCCGGUGGUGAGGUUAAAUUCCUAAAUAUCGGGAGGAACCCCAAUGGCGAAGGCGGUUUCCUUGUCUGAUACUGACGCUGAGGCGCGAAAGUGUGGGGAGCAAACAG